GUAGUUUGGUUUUUCGCCACCUACGUUCGGCCUGUCUACACUUUGUUCUUUGGGAUCUCACUGCUGUGGCAUUUCUCCAUGGUGACUUUUUCCUUCCAGAUAAAACCUUGGUCUUUAGUGGUGCAAUAGCAUCCAUAAGGGUUUCGGCCCGAAACGUUUCCUAUUUCCUUCGCUCCAUAGAUGCUGC